rnacentral:rRNA from 1 species
CAGUCGCCGCGGGAAUACAGAGGGUGCGAGCGUUAAUCGGAUUUACUGGGCGUAAAGCGUGCGUAGGCGGCUUUUUAAGUCGGAUGUGAAAUCCCUGAGCUUAACUUAGGAAUUGCAUUCGAUACUGGGAAGCUAGAGUAUGGGAGAGGAUGGUAGAAUUCCAGGUGUAGCGGUGAAAUGCGUAGAGAUCUGGAGGAAUACCGAUGGCGAAGGCAGCCAUCUGGCCUAAUACUGACGCUGAGGUACGAAAGCAUGGGGAGCAAACAGGAUUAGAUACCCGUAGUCCCUGUCUCUUAUACAC